rnacentral:rRNA from 1 species
GACGAACGCUGGCGGCGUGCCUAACACAUGCAAGUCGAGCGAAUGAAAUUCCUUCGGGAACGGAUUUAGCGGCGGACGGGUGAGUAACACGUGGGCAACCUGCCUCAUAGAGGGGAAUAGCCUUCCGAAAGGGAGAUUAAUACCGCAUAAGAUUGUAGUACCGCAUGGUACAGCAAUUAAAGGAGCAAUCCGCUAUGAGAUGGGCCCGCGGCGCAUUAGCUAGUUGGUGAGGUAACGGCUCACCAAGGCGACGAUGCGUAGCCGACCUGAGAGGGGGAUCGGCCACAUUGGGACUGAGACACGGCCCAGACUCCUACGGGAGGCAGCAGUGGGGAAUAUUGCACAAUGGGGGAAACCCUGAUGCAGCAACGCCGCGUGAGUGAUGACGGCCUUCGGGUUGUAAAGCUCUGUCUUCAGGGACGAUAAUGACGGUACCUGAGGAGGAAGCCACGGCUAACUAUGUGCCAGCCGCCGCGGUAA